GACAGAGGGUGCUAGCGUUGUUCGGAAUUACUGGGCGUAAAGGGCGCGUAGGCGGCUUAUCAAGUCAGGCGUAAAAUUCCCGGGCUCAACCUGGGGGCUGCGCUUGAUACUGAUGAGCUUGAAUGCGGGAGAGGAUAGUGGAAUUCCCAGUGUAGAGGUGAAAUUCGUAGAUAUUGGGAAGAACACCGGUGGCGAAGGCGGCUAUCUGGCCCGUAAUUGACGCUGAGGCGCGAAAGCGUGGGGAGCAAACAGG
rnacentral:rRNA from 1 species